CAAGUGGUGGAGCAUGUGGUUUAAUUCGAAGAUACGCGAAGAACCUUACCUAGCCUUGACAUUGAUUGGAUACUUUAGAGAUAGAGUAGUGCCCUUCGGGGAACAUGAAAACAGGUGCUGCACGGCUGUCGUCAGCUCGUGUCGUGAGAUGUUGGGUUAAGUCCCGCAACGAGCGCAACCCUCGUCCUUAGUUGCCAGCAGGUUAAGCUGGGCACUUUAAGGAGACUGCCUUCGCAAGGAGGAGGAAGGUGAGGACGACGUCAAGUCAUCAUGGCCCUUAUGGCUAGGGCUACACACGUGCUACAAUGGGGCGUACAGAGAGUUGCGAUACCGCGAGGUGGAGCCAAUCUCAUAAAGCGUCUCUCAGUUCGGAUUGAAGUCUGCAACUCGACUUCAUGAAGCUGGAAUCACUAGUAAUCGUAGAUCAGCAAUGCUACGGUGAAUACGUUCCCGGGUCUUGUACUCACCGCCCGUCACACCAUGGGAGUUGAUUUCACCCGAAAUUGGGAAGCUAACCUUCGGGAGGCUACCA
rnacentral:rRNA from 1 species